CGCCUUGCCAGCCCGCUCAGAAACUCAAAGGAAGUGACGGGGGCCCGCACAAGCGGUGGAGCAUGUGGUUUAAUUCGAUGAUACGCGAGGAACCUUACCUGGGCUCAAAUGUAUGUUGACGUAUUUCUGAAAGGGAUACUUCUUCGGACAAUAUACAAGGUGCUGCAUGGUUGUCGUCAGCUCGUGCCGUGAGGUGUCGGGUUAAGUCCCAUAACGAGCGCAACCCCUACCUUUAGUUGCCAUCAGGUAAUGCUGGGGACUCUAAAGGAACUGCCUACGCAAGUAGUGAGGAAGGCGGGGAUGACGUCAAAUCGGCACGGCCCUUACGUCCAGGGCUACACACGUGCUACAAUGGCCGAUACAGAGGGCAGCUACCUGGUGACAGGAUGCAAAUCUCCAAAGUCGGUCUCAGUUCGGAUCGGAGUCUGCAACCCGACUCCGUGAAGUUGGAUUCGCUAGUAAUCGCGCAUCAGCCAUGGCGCGGUGAAUACGUUCCCGGGCCUU
rnacentral:rRNA from 1 species